rfam:Glycine max cultivar Williams 82 chromosome 2, whole genome shotgun sequence.
UCUCGGUGAUGAUCAAAUAAUGAUGACGAGUCCGAUCCAUUCUUAACAAUUCUGACGACAAAUCGAGGCAUUUGUCUGAGAGGA